rnacentral:miRNA from 1 species
CAUUUUUUUGAGAUCUCCUAAUAGUACAUAUGUGAGUGUGUGUAUGUGUGUGAAUUUAUAUAUACACAUAUGCACAUACAUUACAUAUAUCAUAUGCAUCUAUAAAC